GUGGUGUUGUUUAUGACAAUGGCACACCGGAAACCGGCGCCAUCUUAGAGUUGGCUUCCUACAAAAACCUGCUCACUGGAUACUUACUAAGAUUACCAUCUUUGGUUGUCUCAACCUUGUGAAGAGGGUGACAUGUCAACCAACUCUGUUUCCCAGAGUCUUGGUAAUGUCUGCAUUAAACAUUAUGAAUGAGCCGGUGGAACGUGCAUUGUCUCUUUUUGCUAUUAAGAAAAUAUUUGCUGGCAGCUUCCAAACUGGCAGCCAGGAGAAGUGGCUGUAAAAUCACCACAGUGAAAAGAUCCAGGCAGCCUUCAGAGAUCAAUGCUUCUAAUGAUGACCGGCCCCAGGACAGACCAGCAGUCACUCACUGGCAUCUGAUAUCACCUUCCUGCCAUUUCUCUGAGUAACGCAGAGUCCCAUCUAUGCUAGUGGACACUGCCAUUCAAUGUACAAAACAGGAGAGUCACCCAGGGAACCUGGUAUAGCAGAUGUUGGCCCUGGAAGUCCUGCAAGUGUGUGACAUAUUUCCCAAGAGCACCAUGGGAGGCCACAUCCAACCUCUACUUCUGCAAAGGUUGAAAAGGAAUAACAGGCUGAGAGCACAGAGGACAGCACGAAGUCUCCUCGGGUCCCUUGACGGGCUCCCGUGCUAGCUGAGGUAAGUGAUGUUGACAGUGGCAAUAACCUACGGAAUUUCUG
rnacentral:lncRNA from 1 species